rnacentral:rRNA from 1 species
GACGGAGGAUGCAAGCGUUAUCCGGAAUGAUUGGGCGUAAAGCGUCCGCAGGUGGCAGUUCAAGUCUGCUGUCAAAGACCGGGGCUUAACUUCGGAAAGGCAGUGGAAACUGAACAGCUAGAGUAUGGUAGGGGCAGAGGGAAUUCCUGGUGUAGCGGGUGAAAUGCGUAGAGAUCAGGAAGAACAUCGGUGGCGAGGGCGCGUCUGCUGGACCAUAACUGACACUCAGGGACGAAAGCUAGGGGAGCGAAUGGGA